GAUGAACGCUGGCGGCGUGCCUAAUACAUGCAAGUCGAGCGAACAGACGAGGAGCUUGCUCCUCUGACGUUAGCGGCGGACGGGUGAGUAACACGUGGAUAACCUACCUAUAAGACUGGGAUAACUUCGGGAAACCGGAGCUAAUACCGGAUAAUAUAUUGAACCGCAUGGUUCAAUAGUGAAAGACGGUUUUGCUGUCACUUAUAGAUGGAUCCGCGCCGCAUUAGCUAGUUGGUAAGGUAACGGCUUACCAAGGCGACGAUGCGUAGCCGACCUGAGAGGGUGAUCGGCCACACUGGAACUGAGACACGGUCCAGACUCCUACGGGAGGCAGCAGUAGGGAAUCUUCCGCAAUGGGCGAAAGCCUGACGGAGCAACGCCGCGUGAGUGAUGAAGGUCUUCGGAUCGUACAACUCUGUUAUUAGGGAAGAACAAAUGUGUAAGUAACUAUGCACGUCUUGACGGUACCUAAUCAGAAAGCCACGGCUAACUACGUG
rnacentral:rRNA from 1 species